rnacentral:rRNA from 1 species
UGAGUAACACGUAUCCAACCUGCCGUCUACUCUUGGCCAGCCUUCUGAAAGGAAGAUUAAUCCAGGAUGGCAUCAUGAGUUCACAUGUCCGCAUGAUUAAAGGUAUUUUCCGGUAGACGAUGGGGAUGCGUUCCAUUAGAUAGUAGGCGGGGUAACGGCCCACCAAGACUACGAUGGAUAGGGGUUCUGAGAGGAAGGUCCCCCACAUUGGAACUGAGACACGGUCCAA